rnacentral:rRNA from 1 species
AUUGAACGCUGGCGGCAGGCCUAACACAUGCAAGUCGAACGAGUGGCGGACGGGUGAGUAAUGUCUGGGAAACUGCCCGAUGGAGGGGGAUAACUACUGGAAACGGUAGCUAAUACCGCAUACCAUCGGAUGUGCCCAGAUGGGAUUAGCUUGUAGGUGGGGUAACGGCUCACCAAGGCGACGAUCCCUAGCUGGUGUGUGAGGAUGACCAGCCACCUUGGAACGGAGACACGGUCCGGCCUCCUCCGGAAGCCAGCAGUGGGGAAUAUUGCACAAUGGGCGCAAGCCUUAUGCGGCCAUGCGGCGUGGAUGAAGAAGGCCUUCGGGUUGUAAAGUACUUUCAGCGAGGAGGCGUUACUCGCAGAAGAAGCACCGGCUAACUCCGUGCCAGCAGCCGCGGUAAUUC